AUUGAACGCUGGCGGCAUGCUUUACACAUGCAAGUCGAACGGUAACAGGGUGCUUGCACCGCUGACGAGUGGCGAACGGGUGAGUAAUGCGUCGGAACGUGCCGAGGAGUGGGGGAUAACGCGGCGAAAGUUGUGCUAAUACCGCAUACGUACUGAGGUAGAAAGUGGGGGACCUUCGGGCCUCACGCUAUUCGAGCGGCCGACGUCUUAUUAGCUAGUAGGUGAGGUAAAGGCUCACCUAGGAGACGAUCAGUAGCGGGUCUGAGAGGAUGAGCCGCCACACUGGGACUGAGACACGGCCCAGACUCCUACGGGAGGCAGCAGUGGGGAAUUUUGGACAAUGGGCGAAAGCCUGAUCCAGCCAUGCCGCGUGUCUGAAGAAGGCCUUCGGGUUGUAAGGGACUUUUGUCGGGGAGGAAAUCCCCAGCGUUAAUACCGCUGGGGGAUGACAGUACCUGAAGAAUAAGCACCGGCUAACUACGUGCCAGCAGCCGCCGUAACAC
rnacentral:rRNA from 1 species